CCUGGCUCAGGAUGAACGCUGGCGGCGUGCCUAAUACAUGCAAGUCGAGCGAAUGGAUUAAGAGCUUGCUCUUAUGAAGUUAGCGGCGGACGGGUGAGUAACACGUGGGUAACCUGCCCAUAAGACUGGGAUAACUCCGGGAAACCGGGGCUAAUACCGGAUAACAUUUUGAACCGCAUGGUUCGAAAUUGAAAGGCGGCUUCGGCUGUCACUUAUGGAUGGACCCGCGUCGCAUUAGCUAGUUGGUGAGGUAACGGCUCACCAAGGCAACGAUGCGUAGCCGACCUGAGAGGGUGAUCGGCCACACUGGGACUGAGACACGGCCCAGACUCCUACGGGAGGCAGCAGUAGGGAAUCUUCCGCAAUGGACGAAAGUCUGACGGAGCAACGCCGCGUGAGUGAUGAAGGCUUUCGGGUCGUAAAACUCUGUUGUUAGGGAAGAACAAGUGCUAGUUGAAUAAGCUGGCACCUGA
rnacentral:rRNA from 1 species